CAGCAGCCGCGGUAAUACGUAGGGUGCAAGCGUUGUCCGGAAUUACUGGGCGUAAAGAGUUCGUAGGCGGUUUGUCGCGUCGUUUGUGAAAACCAGCAGCUCAACUGCUGGCUUGCAGGCGAUACGGGCAGACUUGAGUACUGCAGGGGAGACUGGAAUUCCUGGUGUAGCGGUGAAAUGCGCAGAUAUCAGGAGGAACACCGGUGGCGAAGGCGGGUCUCUGGGCAGU
rnacentral:rRNA from 1 species